rnacentral:pre_miRNA from 1 species
GACCAUUUUCUUUGAUAUAUAUGAUAUUUUCUUUGCGUAACGCAAAGAAAAUAUCAUAUAUAUCAAAGAAAAUGGUG